AGUUGUAAAUUACACUGCACGAGGGGAAGUCAGUUUCUGGUGAGUUUUGAGAGUCAGUUUCUGAUUCGGCUGAGCUCAGCAAAACUAUGUGCCAACUAAUAACUACAAAAACUUCAAAUGCCAUCAAACCGAGGGCAUGAAAAGUUUAAAGAAAAGAUAACAAAAUAUAAAACUACCUCGACAACAACAGUCGAUGAGGAGGAGGUCCGAGAUUCGAGGACCGGCGAAGAAGCAUAAAAAAUUCAACGAAAACACUGGACAAGAUGGGAUGGUAUAGGAUUGGGAAUGUGGUCGGGGUACUUCGAAUGGAGUGGCUGCCCAACCUUCAUGCCUAUAAAUCCAUCGAAAUAAUGGAUCGGAUAAGAGGCGCGCAUUCGAGAUGAGUUCCAGUCGCGCCGUCAAGUGGGUUGAGUGCCCACACGAUGGCCAUUCCCAUUCCCAUUUCCAUUGCCAUUCGCAUUGCCUGAGAUACAGAUACAGACGGUUGGGCAAAUGAAAAGAUUGAAAGAUGGGGCGAUGGAAAGACUGGCUGGAAAGAGGGGCCUCAUCCUCAAUCUUCGCUGAGCCACCGCAACGAAUGGGCCAACGAGAUGGGAAGGGGCUGCAAAUGGGGCCGGCAUUGGGUAUAUCUGGUAUCUGGCAUUAUCUGUAUCUCUCGGAUACACUUGGCUUGGCCCAGCCCGGCCUGGCCGGUUCAACGUACGUUCCAUGUGCAACGCCAGCGGAAAUGGCAGCGACAAACCGAGAGGAAAAUGGCAACAACUAUGGCGCAUCGAAAGUGGCUUUUAACCCCUGUUGCCCGACAGCCGCCAUCUGGACCAUAUGCCGCCAUCCCAAAACCUAAUCCUAACGCACGAGCGUCGAAAUCCCUAACCCACCACCCGAGCCAACCUCCUUUUUGGCCUCAUCAAAAAUUCCAAAUACGUUUCAAAUUUAAUAUGUGCAUUUAUCCCGGUCGCCGGAUCGCAGUUUCCCCACUGAUUGCGAGUGGUGUUCGCUUCACUCCUUGGCGCUCCUUUAUGGGGCUUAAAUAUGUAUAACCCGGGGGCUCCGUACGUGUCUGCGUUAUACGUAAUAUUUCGACUAAAAAUUCACGCCCUGCGUUAUUCUAUCAACACCUCCGCAUUGUUGUUGUAGUGUUCACCCCUUCCCGCGGCUGGAAAAACGAUGGCGGCCUCGCAUACGAAAUGAGAUUUGUGGCAGCCCAGCACGAAGUUUUCGGAGUUUGGGCCCCAGGAUUUUCUGGCGGGGAUGCGGUGCAAUGGGGAUUACGGAUAAGACCCGGACCGGGCUUACGUGUCAGCUGUGUGGCUGUACACGCUGGCAUAAAUACAUAUUUCAUAUGUAUUUCGUGCAUAUUUCGUUAUUCAUGCUCGUAAACUAACCGAGCUCGGCUUCAGGUGCAUUUUACAAAGUCAUUAGCCCAGUAAUAACCAUAUUGAUGUGAAGUCUUGUUU
ensembl:ncRNA lncRNA:CR46267 long non-coding RNA:CR46267